UACGGAGGGGGCUAGCGUUGUUCGGAAUUACUGGGCGUAAAGCGUGCGCAGGCGGUUUGUUAAGUCUGCUGUGAAAUCCCCGAGCUCAACUUGGGAAUUGCAGUGGAUACUGGCAAGCUGGAGUACGGUAGAGGAAGGUGGAAUUCCCGGUGUAGCAGUGAAAUGCGUAGAGAUCGGGAGGAACACCAGUGGCGAAGGCGGCCUUCUGGACCAGUACUGACGCUCAUGCACGAAAGCGUGGGGAGCAAACAGG
rnacentral:rRNA from 1 species